rnacentral:lncRNA from 1 species
UUUAUUUUAUCCUUUCAUGAUAGCCAAGAGAAAACUUAGUAAUAUUGAGGGAAUUGGAUCCUCCAGCAGAGUCCAUUAAUAUACAAAAGAUACUCAAAAUUUCAUUCAUAUUGUAAUCGGAUGCAAUGUGUCUGGGUGCUAUCUUGGGAUACAUAUGUUUUAAUUAUCAUAAAAGGCCUAAACGGGAUUUCUUAGACAUGUGAAUUUUGUGAUACUUCAAGCACAAUUAUUUUGUCAGACUCUGAUCGAGCCCAAAUUGAAUUAUGAACCAGUUUUAUGCAGAUUAAUGUGUUGAAUUGAAACAAUGAAGUUCUAUCAAGCUUCAGUUUAAUUUUGUGAUCUCUACUGGAUAACAACUUAUUUUUAUUCAUUGUUUUUCUGUUGACUUGGGUGUUUCAGGAGCUAUAAAUCUACGAAUGUGCUGCUCCGGCAAAGUUUAUAGGGAUAUGGAUUGUCUACCUUUGUUUGAGAGAAUUCGGAAAAAUGUGAAGAAAUUUGGAAGGAAAAGAUGAUAGAUAUGAGGAAACGUAUGUGUUUUUCCCUCUCUAAGAAUUAACAACUAACAAGUGUUCUUUUUUCAAUGAUUAUAUAGCCACGGAAAUUAUAUGAAACAAAAGAGGCAUACAAAUGAUGUGUCGACAUGCUUUCUUUGCAUACUAGGGAGAUUCUAAUCAAUGAGAGGAAUUCCAUGUUCCCUGCAUUUCUCCUAGAGGUACCUUAGCAUGUGCCCGGGGGCAUCGGUUAACACAACCCAUUAGAAAAAAACAAUGUUUUAUAUUUACUGAAUAAUUAAUAUAUUUUAUCUAUAAAUGUGACUGAAUAUAUUAGUUAUUCUAUGAACUAAACAAAUAUUUUUUUCGCUUAUAAAUGUAAUAAGAGGGAUGAGUCAUAUUUUUAUUUUUUUUGAUAGAGAGGGAUGAGUGAUAUUAUAUGCGUUAAAUGUAUCAUCUUGAUGUUUUGUGGCUGAACAAUUCUUGUAUAAAGGAUCAGAGGGAGUAUUAACUUAAAUAGAUUUUUUAUUUACAAAAUUGUAUUUUGGAUAUCCAAAUUGUAUUGGUAACUUUGUUAGAAGCCAUACAAAUCGAACUAUAUAUAAACAUUUAAUUUUUUUUUUUUAGAUUAUUUUUUGUCUCUAAACUUAUUCGAAGGGACAAAAUUUUGGUACAUUUUUUUAUGUGUUUUUCGUAUAAUUUUUAAUUAUCCAUUCAAUUUCACUAGUGUUUGUGGCCUUGUGGGUAGGGUGGAAUUUCACCAAACUCAACAUCCAAAUCAAUGAAUUGUUCUAAGAGUAUCUUAUUCAACCCUCCUCAAGUUUCCUUUGUCCUACUGAAUUUUGGAUUAUAGAAUUUAAACAUUGUAAAACACGCACAAAAACUCU